GAGCAAAACAGCUAUGGGUCAAGUAUGGACAUCUACAGAAGUCUUAUUGUGAGGGCGAGUUAUAUAAAAAAAAAAGACUGGCCGUCCCAUAUGAAAAGAUUAUAUUAGAAUUGAAUGAAGCUUUGUUUAUAUAUUGAUAAUGACAGUACAUGAUGGAGGGUGUCUUGACUAAUUGCGUGCCAGCAGUCGCGGUAAUACGUAAGAGACUAGUGUUAUUCAUCUUAAUUAGGUUUAAAGGGUACCCAGACGGUCAAUAUAGCUUAUAAAAUGUUAGUACUUGACUAGAGUUUUAUGUAAGAGGGCAGUACUUGAGGAGGAGAGAUGAAAUUUCGUGAUACCAAAGGGACUCUGUAAAGGCGAAGGCAGCCCUCUAUGUAAAAACUGACGUUGAAGGACGAAGGCACAGAGAACAAACAGGAUUAGAUACCCAAGUAGUCUUUGCAGUAAAUGAUGAAUGCCAUAGGUUAGAUUGAUCAAUUAUAGUCUAGGGUUAGUCUAGCAAACUAAUGCCCUAUGAUAUAAUUCAAAUAUCUGGUCUAUAAAUGAAAGUGUAAGCAUUUCACCUCAAGAGUAAUGUGGCAACGCAGGAACUGAAAUCACUAGACCGUUUCUGACACCAGUAGUGAAGUAUGUUAUUUAAU
rnacentral:rRNA from 1 species